AGAAGGAGAAACAGAAGAAGGCAAAGAAGAAAAAGAAGAAGAAGCAUAAGAAGAAGGAAGAUUCGCAGCACUAACACUCCUCUUUUCUUUCUUUUCUUCCU
rnacentral:ribozyme from 13 species